rnacentral:lncRNA from 1 species
UUUUUUUUUUUUUUUUUUUUUCAAGUCCUGUUCUAUUAUACUAAGAGGGUUUUAGGGAAGAAAGGGAAAUCCAAUUCUAUUACGAAGGCAACUAAUAAUAAUGAGAUUAGUUUGGAUUCUAUUACUUUUUUGUUGCAGAACUGUCUGCUGACCUGUCAAGUUGCAAUAAAAUUUAUAAUUUUGAUAUAGAAAUCGAACUCUUUGUCAGGGAGAAAUAGUUAAUUUUGAGAUAGAAAUCAAAUUCUCGAGAAUUCAUUGAAAAAUUUAAGACCUUAUUCGGAUUGCUGUUUUUCGUCGAAAAAUUACGUCGUUUUCCGUAAUCACAUUUUCCUAUUAUCUUUUUUUCUCACGUACAUUAAAUCGCUAGAGUAAUUUUUUCGUGAAAAAUCAUGAAAAAUGCAAUCCAAACACAACCUUAAUAUGUAAGUCAGGAACUCAACUCCGAUUCAAAACGUCAAACUAUUAGGUUUCGAAUCCUUAUGUAUAUAUUAACCGUUCUUUCUUUCUGUAUCUCUCAAAUUAACAUAAAACAUAAUUUUUUUAUUCAUGCAUCUAAAUGUCUUGCUUCUUGGCAACAACUGAGUUUCCAAGUUGUCAGUAAUAAGCAGCUAAUGAUCUCAAAAAAAGAAUAGAUAAAAAAAAAAAAAAAGAAGGGAUUGUUCUCUUCCUUUAUAUAACUCACUCUGAAUCUGGUCAGUUCAUUCUACAAUUAGCCCCACCAACAAGGGACAAACUGACAAUCAGGAACAAACAAACAAACAACCAUUACACCCCCAUAAUUGCAAGAUUAGCCACUAGAUUACAAGUUUCCAGACACUUAAAGUGCCCCCAAAAGGGCAAAAAAAAAAGAAAAAGAAAUAGUAAUUCCUAAACUAAAGCCCCACCACACCAUCUUUCUCAACUCUCAAGUCUUUAGUGAGUGAAAAGACAUUACCACCCUUUUACCAGCAUUAAACCAUGUUUGACUCCUCUUUUCUCUCACACUCGCACUCAUCAGCCUAUCUGUCUCCCUCUAAAAAUCUCUGCUAAAUUUUGGCAGUUACCUUUUAUAUUUUUCUCUCCUCAAUAAAAAAAAAAAAAAAAAAAACUUUAGCACCAAUCGCUCGGGUGCUACAAACUACGGCAUUAUUUGGUAAGCAAGUUUUUGGUUAAAUUUAUCUGUUAUAAAUUUUUUAAUAAUUUUAACUACAGUAAUCUUCAUUUUUUAAAAAUAUUCAAAAAUUUAUAUAUUUUAAAAUUAUUUUUUUGUAAUUUCUAUAAUAAUUUAUAAUUAAAUUUUAAACAAAUAAUCAAAAAUAUCACUUACCAAACAGGCCUGCGACUACAACAACAACCAGGAGAAGUAUACCACCACCAAUAACAACAACAUUUUGCUAGACACAAGAAUCACCAUCAUCUCUACUUCCUCGAGCCCCAAGCCCCCCUCAACCUUCCUACCUUCUCCCUUGAUUCUCUCUCUCUAUUUUUAUCUCUUUCUCAAGCGUUUUUAACCAAUUAGAUUACUUUUUAGGGAUAAUUGCAAAAACCUCUCUUGAGAUUUCUAACAUUUGCACUGACCUCCCCUGUAGUUUGAAAAAUUACACUGACCUUCCUGAGAUUACUAAUCCUUUGCAAAUUUAGUCCAAACGAUUAAAAUAUUAUUUUAGGGAGUGAAAUUAGAAUUUUGUACCAGAUUUGCCCUUUUGUGCUACAUAUCCAAUGAAUGACAAAGUACUAUAAAUCAAUUAAUAAUUAAUAAAUUUUAAGGAGUAUAAUUUAUGGACAAACACGCGUUACUCAUUUAAAGUACCAACUCUUUACGAGUAUUUUACUUUCAAAUAUUUAAUUUAUGAUAAAUAUAUCAAUGUUUGUAAGUAAAAUUCAAAAAUUUUUAUAGUAAUGUUCUUGCAAAAAGGAAAUCGAUAAGUUAUUUAUUUAAUAUAAAUUAAAUAUUUUUUUAAAAAUAAAUGGCCCAUAAAGUAUUAAUUUUUUAUGACUUUCAUCAAUUACACGAAUAAAGUAUUCGCUCUUUAUGUGUAUUUUAUUUUGAAUCAUUUAAUUUAUGUUAAAUACAAAUGUUUGUAACUAAAAUUGAAAAAGUGUUAUAUUAAUAUUUUACGGAAGAGAGAUUGGUGGGUUUUGUAUUUAAAAAAAAUUAAAUAUUUGAAAGUAAAUAUAAAUAUGUAUUUGAGCGUAAAUAUUUUUAUUAAAUUAAAUGUUUGAAAGUAAAAUACCCUUAAAGAACCGGUACUUUAAAUAGUUACCGACUCUUUAUAGGCAAACACGUAUUACUCAUUUAAAGCACCGGUUUUUUACGGAUAUUUUACUUUCAAACAUUUAAUUUAUGAUAAAUAUAUCAAUGUUUAUUAGUAAAAUUCAAAAAGUGUUAAAGUAAUAUUCUUGUAAAAGGAAAUCGGUAGGUUAUUUAUUUAAUAUAAAUUAAAUAUAUAUUUUUUAAAAUGACCAUAAAGUAUUAAUUCUUUGUGACUUUCAUCCAUUACAUAAGUAAAGUAUUGGCUCUUUAUGGGUAUUUUAUUCUGAAUCAUUUAAUUUAUGUUAAAUACAUAAAUGUUUGUAACUAAAAUUGAAAAAGUGUUAUAUUAAUAUUUUUACGGAAGAGAUAUUGGUAGUUUUUGUAUUUAACAAAAAUUAAAUAUUUGAAAGUAAAUACAAUUAUGUAUUUGAGCAUAAAUAUUUGUAUUAAAUUAAAUGUUUGAAAGUAAAAUACCCAUAAAGAGUCGGUACUUUAAAUAGGUAAUGCAUAUUUGUCUAUAAACUAUACUCCUUAAAGUUUAUUAAUUGUUAAUUGAUUUGUAGUAUUUUAUCAUUCAUUGAACAUGUAGUACAAAUGACAAAUUUAGUAAAAAAUUAUAAUUUCACUUCCUAAAACAAUAUUUUAAUCGUUUGGAAUGAAUUUGCAAAGGAUUAGUAACCUCAGGGGAGGUCAGUGUAAUUUUUCAAACUAUAAGGAAGGUCAGUGCAAAUAUUAGAAACCUCAGGGGAGGUUUCUGCAAUUAUCCCUUAUACUUUUUAUUACCAGAAAAUUCCCAGUGUCUAAGCCUUCAUCUAUAAUAGUGCUAGGAACUUCUUCAACAGUAUCCCUUUGUUUAUCAUAAUUUUUUUAUAUCUGCAGAACAAAAGUUGAAAUGAGAAGAUGAAAUUGGUAGUAAAAGAAAAUAUCCCCUCCUUCCCUUCCUGUUUGUUGUGACUAGCGACAGGUCCCUCUCUUUCUCUGACUGUGAGACCACCUCCUUUUUUUUUUUUUUUGUGCAGAAUCUCUGUUUUUGUGCGUGUCUGUGUGUGAUAUGUAAUGCAUGUGUGUGUGUGUGAGACUAGUGACCAGUGCCGCCUCCCUCGUUUACAGAAGAAAAAACCCAACUUUUUCCUCCCUCCUCUCCCCGGUCUGAAAUGGCUCAAUGUGGGCUGAUCUGCGACCAUGUUCAAGAACCUAUUUUUUUGGCCGGAACCAUCUUUCGACUUCCAGAUGGAAAGCGGGCAGGUCUAAACCUUCCCUGAAAGGCAAACUUUUUUCCCCUUAUUUCGCUGAAAAUCCAAAGUUUUUCGACCCACAUUGCUCCAAGACUCCACCUUUUCUUUACCGUCUUUUAGAUAUACCCAUUUCCCCGAUAUUUUCUCGUAAACAGGAGAGAAAUGGGGUGUGUGGCUUCCAGGUUAGAAGAGGAAGAGGAAGUAGUGUCCAUAUGCAGAGAUAGAAAGCACCAGCUGAAGUUGGCUGUAGAGAGAAGAUAUGCUCUGGCAGAUGCACAUUAUAGAUACUGUCAAGCACUCUAUGGUGUCUCAGCAGCUAUUAGGCUCUUUGUUGCUCGCCAUUCUUCUCCUGCUUCUCCAUUUAUGAUCACUUUUCCACCUCCUACUCCACCUUCUCCUCCCCCAGAAAAUGUGGUCUCCAACCCCCUGUUCCUUCAGCAAACACCAUCGGAACCAACCAAGGAAGCUCUUACCUGUGAGUCCUGCGAGUCUUCAACUGCAUCAGACUCUUCAGAGGAGGAAAUAGAAGAAAGAGUGGAGAAAGAAGAACCGCCCUCUUGUGGGUAUUUUUACAUGGAAAUGCCUCAAUCAAUGCCCUCUCCACAUAGAGAUUUUGGUUGGGAUUUUUUUAACCCUUUUACUAGCGUUAGGCCAGAGAUAAUAAAUGGGUAUAAUCGGAUAUCUGAGGAGGAUUUGAGGGUUGUUAGGGAGCGAGAAGGAAUUCCCGAAUUGGAAGAAGAAGGGGAAAGAUUUGAGGAAGAAAGUAAUGCAGUAGUGGUAGAAGAGAAAUUGGGUGGGCGGCAUCAUGAGGAAAGCAGCAGGGUUGAGGUUGCCAAGGCAGUGAAUGAUAGUAAUGUGAGCCAGGUGGAGCAAAAGGGCUUAACUGUCAUUGACACGCCUGUGAGAGGGAGAGAGUUGUUGGAAGCUCUUCAGGAUAUUGAAGACCAUUUUAUCAGAGCUUACGAUUCUGGCAAGGAAUUGUCUAGAAUGUUAGAGGUCAAUAGGGUCCAGCUGCAAUCUAACUUGGAGGAGAUAAAAGGUAUAAACUAUUUCUUCCGUCCUUCUUUUCAACCAACUAAAUUAUAGGCGCAUGUGUCCUGUGUGCUGUUUUCGAUUGUAAUGAUGUGUUAGCCGUCAACUUUCGUUUACUUGGUUAACAUACUACAAGCAUAUCGUUACAUUUUUCUUGAAUUUUUGCUUCAGAGACUUGGAGAUGAUAAGGUGGUAUGACCUCCAAGUCCUAAUGUGCUGCUGUAAAUUUUUUCUCUCCUACGGUCCUACCUUGGAAAGUUACAUUUGGCUUCAGAGUGCUUUAGUCGUGUUUAUCACUACGUAUUGUUCUUUCUGUAUGUCUGGUGGGUUCUACAUUGUCUACCUUUAAGUAAGUGUGUAGCAUGCUUCUGUUAACCUUUACAAAUACCCUGCAUCACCUUUGCGCCUUUAUAUUUUGACAGCAAAAGAACUUGUAAUAGUUCACAGUGACAUUUUUAUGGGGCACAUUCACUCUCUUCUAUCGCAACCCAGUAUAGAUUGCAUGUCUUUUGCAAGUAUCAUCCGUGUUACGGAAAUGUACUUUAAAAGAUAAAUAACAAUGAAAGAUAAAUAACCCAGUGAGAUUGUUACAGAAAUGUCCUUUACUUGCUAUGGAAAUGGCAAUUAAUUUCAGAUGUUGAAGUACUGAAUUCUUUUCUGAUAAGGCUGAGUUCAUGUAUGGCAUGAUGAGUUUGCUUUUUCAGUUUUUUUUUUGGCAUUUUUUUCAUUCAUUUCUGAUUUGCAUAUUUAAAGAUUGCAACUUUUACUUCCAGUUGCCAAUGAUGCAAUCGUACUAAAGCAAAUCUUGAUUCAUUUCUUGUGUGGAUCAGAGAACUCAACAAAAUUGAUCCAGGCUAUAACUUGGCGAUCCACUUCUUCUCGUUCUUCAUCAUGUAAGAGUCUUGUAGCGUCGAGUUCCAAAAACUGUUUGACAUGGACUGAAUUCAAGAAUGAUCUUUUUGAUGAUUAUGGAGGAAUGGAUUCUGGAAGCCAUUCGCUGACAUUGGGAAGGAUAUAUGCUUGGGAGAAGAAGCUCUAUGAAGAAGUUAAGGUAGAUGAUAUAGUUCUUGCCAUAACUUUCGUCCUUGUUCUCUUCCCAUUUAGUUUAUGGCAUUUGACCUGAAAUUUGUUUGCCCUCAGGCUGGGGACAACACUAGGCAACUAUAUGAGAGGAAAUGCAAUCAACUAAGAAACCAAGAUGCCAGAGGAGUUGAAGGGGCCACUGUAGAUAAAACAAGAGCAGCAGUGAAAGAUUUGUAUAGCAGGAUCCUUGUUGCAAUUCGAAGUGCUGAAACCAUAUCCCAAAGAAUUGAGAAACUCAGGGACGAGGAGCUCCAGCCCCAAAUUAUGGAACUGCUUCAAGGGUAAGGAGGUAUUCUGGAGUGAAAGAAGGAAGAUUACCUGAUACGCUUACUAAUAUUGUCACCUGGUUUGCUGAAAGUGUUUUACUUUGCUGCAGCAUGAUGAGGUGCUGGAAAACCAUGUUGGAAUCCCAUGAAAUCCAGAAUAAGAUCAUGUUUGAAGUGAAAACUUUCACAUGUCCUACAUUUGGAAAGUUCUGCAAUGAUUCUCACCGGCUUUCAACUCUGCAGCUUGGUGCUGAGCUUCGGAAUUGGCGGACAUGCUUUACCGAAUAUGUUGCAUCCCAGAAGGCAUACGUUGAAGCACUGCAUGGCUGGAUUUCAAAGUUUAUUGUCCCUGAAGUUGAAUUCUAUUCGAGAAGCAGAAUUUCUGCUCCACCAUGUCGAGAAAAUGGACCACCUCUUCUUACCAUUUGCCGUGAUUGGUUAGCUUCCCUGGACAAAUUGCCUGACAAGGAUGUUGGCUCUGCCUUAAGAAGCUGUGAAAAGGAUAUUAGAGCUCUGUGGGUUCAGCAGGGAGAGGAACAGCAACAGAAAAGGAAAGUUGAUAGCCUGUCUAAAGAACUAGAUAGAAAGAUUCUUGUAUUUCAGAAGGCUGAGAAUAAAUUUCAUGAAUUAAAGUCAACAGAUCAUAAAUUGGAUCUGGAGAGUGAUCGUGGGGCUGAGUGCUUUAAAGAGAGGAAGGAUUUAUUGGACAACUUCAGGGGAAAAGUUGACAUGGAAAAGGAAAACCACCAGAACUGCAUGCAAGAAACUCAAAGGAUAACGUUGAAUGGAUUUCAGACAGGUUUUGGCAGAGUGUUCGAGUCUAUGACAGAGUUUUCCAAGAUUACAUUGAAAAUGUUUAAUGAUCUAUCAAGCAGCAGUCACGAUGCUGAGAAAUUCGGCAGCGUGUCGUAUUCCAAAGGCUCCCAACUUGAAGAUGGCAAAAGGUGACCUCGCAAAAUGAAGUGGAGAUGCUGUGACUGACAUGGCUCGGGCUUUCUUCUUAUUCUUUUUCCCCGUUCCUUUCAUUUUGAAUUCUUUUAGGCUGAACGCCCGAUUGAAGGGUAUUGUACACUGGGAAUGCGUCUAAGCAGCUCGCUGAGAUGCUCUUAGUUGUGUUUGUACUCGGAAGUAGGGGGCACUGGGAGUUUCCCUCCUGCCUUGUAGAUGUUCUGUUGCCAAAGUUUGUAGCCUAUUUCCUCAUUCUCACAUCUCUAUGGGCGAAAAAUCCAUGUAAGCUGGGAGAUUGGGUGGGCAGCCCAUGUGCCUACAUGUUCCCGCAACUUUGGAGGAUUGGAGUAUGUGGUCGAAUUUGUAAAAUAGUCUCAUUUUACCAAGGGUAAGAAGAUGGUUAAGAAUUGAAUAUAUCCCCAUAUUAGUUAUAGUUUACUUUUGAUAUUCAUCGGUAUUCCCAGCUGUGUUUGUCACUUGAGAUCUUCGGUGACAUGUUUUCUAUGCCAAUUCAAUGCCACCAAUAAUGUUGCGCCAAGUGUCAUGUUAUUAUUUACACUUUAAUUUUCUAAUAAUUUAACUUGACUUGAUUUAACAUAAGUGUAUAUAAUAACAUGACACUUGGCGUAACAUUAUUGGUGACAUUGAGUUUGGCAUAGAAAACAUGUCACCGAGAAUUCCAAGUAGGAAAUGGUACCUACGUACGAUGCAAGAAUAGGAGGCGCAGUAUAGCAAAUAUAUAGACUUGACUAGAUUAAAGGGGUGCUCGGACAUCUCUUUUUUAGAAUUUUUUCAUUACAGGUGGGAUUCGAAUCCUUGACUAACAAUCUAAAAAGAGAUAUUAAAGGGGUGCUCGGACAUCUCUUUUAGAAUUUUUUCAUUGCAGGCGAGAUUCGAAUCUUUGACUUGCAGUCUAAAGAGAGAUUUAGUCCAUUUUUUAUAGUACUGAGUUUUGGUUCAGUGGUUUGGUCACCAGUAUUGACUAUAGGAGCUAUUAUUUGACAAUUGUAAUAACAUGUAUGGGUCAUGGUCUAGAGGCGUUUAUUUCAUGUGAGGCCCUGAUGAAAUCUAAAGAAAGCGUUGGGAUAUUCAGUGCCAUUAUCAGUGUCAAUCUCCAUGCGAGGAUAAAGGAAAUUUAAAUUAAAUCAAACCAAUUAGAAUUAUUAAAAAAAUUAAAGAGCACACAAUAACUUAAAUAAAAAAAAAAUUUGGGAUAAAUAUUGAAGUAGUCUCGCUUAUCGCGUGAGGGUAAAGGAAAUUUAAGUUAAAUAAAACCAAUUUGAGUUAUUACAAAAAAAAAAAAAAUUAAAGAACACAUGACAACUAAAAUAAAUAGGAAACUCGAUAUAAGUAUAGAAGUGACAUCGAGAAUUUUCAUGCGCUAAAGAAAGGUGUUAUUGAUGAUUGCAUCUCGUUAUUUGGCUAUAUUUUUCAGCCCUAGAUCUUAAAAGCACGAGGAGGCAUGAAUGUUACACUCCAUAAUUUUUUUUUUCCCUUUUAAUGCAAACUAUAAAAUUUUAUUGAUGAAGCAAUGAAAUUAUACCAAAAAGUCAAGAAAACCUGCUGAGAAACACACUACUAGUUUCAAUUGGAAGAAAGUGAUCAGAAAUAAAACUCAAGCAGUACCAACCAAAGAAAAGGGUAAACUCAGUCACAAAACUGAGUCUCAAUCUGCCUAUGGCCUGAAGACCCCAGCCCAGCAACCGCCCACAGCUUAGAUAGAGUCUGUGGUCUGAGUGUCCCAACCAGCAACAGCGCCUCAAAUAGGGUCCAAAAUAGCAGCCACGGUUGCCCGCUCCAUGAACAGGAACUUGCUGGCACAAGGCAGGAGAAUCUUAGAUGGUUUUCGCAAAAAAAUUUCGUGAAACAUUCUCACGAUAUAUUUUUCAAUCAUUUUUUUUUCUCAUAUGCAUCCUAUUAUAUCAUUUACUAAUAUAUUUCAAAAAAGAAAAAAACUGACAUAUUACAUUGGGAGUCCGGCAUCAGGUUUCUACAUGUACCAAAUGCGUCUUUUCCUUGAGAGCUGAGGGGCCAUAGUGCUAAACUGUUUGGAAGAGGUCACAAAAACGCAAAAACAGCAGCAUGCAGACAGUAAUAUUUGUUUAUAACUACUUUAUUCUCUACCGUUUUUACCGUAGCACUUUUUACAAUAAUAUUUGUUUGGAUUGUAAGUUAUUUGAGAUAUUUUUACUGUAGCACUUUUUGUGAUGUGAUGUAUGUGAGAUAAAAAGGUAAUCGGGAAGAUAAAAAGGUAAUCGGGAAGAUAAAAAGGUAUAUUGAAAAUUAUAAUGAUAAUGUAAGCAAAUAAAAUUGGAAAAAUAAUGCUCAAUCCAAACAAACCUCAGGAAUGGUUAUUAUUCUGAGUAAUACAUUUCCGCACUACUUUCAUUAAUAUUUCAUUUCAUACAGAUAUAAUAAUGUAACUUCUUAUACUACUAUGUUUUAAGACUCAGACAGGGUAAUGACUCAGCCAAAUUUACAGGUCAGGGGUCAAUGGAUUAGAUUGGGGUUGAACCUGUUUAAGAAUCGAAUGACAUGAUCAUGAUGGCAUAAAUAUGUAUUAAAUAUAUAUAACGUUAAAUGCUAUAAAGAGUACAUACGCUUUGGUAUUUUCCUUUUUUCUUACACAUUUUCUUCGUAUCAUACACACCCAAAACAAAACCAACUUUGAAAACUCGAGCACGUAUAACCCAACCAAUAACCUCACAAAUUAGAAAUAACACAUAGCUUAAUGAAAUUCAAAAGCAUUAAAGUCCGAACCCAAUUUGAUAUUUUCAAAUUCUAAUUCUAUAACUAAAUGUGUGAGACUUAUUUGAAAACAGACAUCAAAAUUGAUGAUGCAACUGACAUUAGAAAAAGUUUUAGGAACUUUGAUAAUAAUUUAAAAACUAGUAGGGGAAAAAUGAAAUGUUCAAAAACUUAAGGUAGCCAUCUCUAGUUUCUCACUCUAUGCCCUACGUAUGCUAUCAAUAUAAUUGCGUUCACGUUUCUGCUUAUUCCCUCUCUUUUCACUCUUUCGUUUUCUUGCUUUCCUUGUGUCUUUUAAUCUUUUCUUUCAUCAAAUCUGUCUUGUAGUUCUGGGUUUUCAUCUUUGAUCCUCUUUUCUAUAUUUAUCAAACAAAAACAUGAAAACUUAUUAAUUUCGUUCUCUUCUAUCCAUUUGCAUUUCUCUUUUUCUUCUCUUAUUUUGCUUCUUGAUCUUAGAUCUGCAAAAUUUCCUUCUUCAUCUUAGAUUUGUGUUAUUACUUUUUUAGAUCUAUAAAUGGCAGCAAGUCCACUGUUAUAGAUUUGCUUGAAAAGCAGGGAAAGAAAGGUUGAUUCUUCUUCUUCGUCUUCUUCUUCUUUUUUUUGGGAAAAUAAGUUGCAAAACUUUAGGAAACCAAAAUUCGGGUCUUCAAAAUCCCGGGUUUUCUCGGUUCAACCCGGUUGUUAACCGGAUUUGACCGAGUCUUUCGUCAGCCAGCCAGUUUUCUAGCUAAGCUUGGCCUGGAUGCCUAACCGGUUUCUGGUUCAAUCGGUUGAAUCGAUCGAUUCAUUCCGAGUUUGAAAACCAUGUCUGACUCCUUUUCUUCCCGUUGUGUUGCAAUGGAACCCCUUUUAUCACUUUAAUAAUAAUAAUGAUAAAUAAUAAUGAGAGAAAUAGAAAAAGAAAAUAGGGUAGAGUAGCUUAAUUGAGGUUUCCUUUCUCUUCAAUUGAUACUCUAGUACCACUUCAUACUUUUGUUGACUUUUUUUUUUGCUUUUCUUGUUUCUUUUCGGUGCUAAUUUCCACAGGCAAGAAUUUUUAGCAGCAGAUAGGUAGUUACAGAUAGGGGUGUAAACGAAUCGAGCUGCUUGCGAGCGGCUCGAUUCAAAUUUGAGUUGAUGGAGUUAAAAUCGAGUUUGAACUCAAAACAUUAACCGAGUUUCGUUAGCUCGCGAUUUCGAAUAUACAUAUAUAUAAAUAUUUUUUUAUUUUUAUUUAAUAGUAAAAUUAUAUGAAUAUUUUUAAUAUUUUAUUAUUUAUUAAAAAAUUAUUUUAUUUAUUUUUUAAAAGAAUAAAAUAAUUUUUUUUUAUUUUUUUCGAGUUCGAGCUUAAAAAUUGUCAAGCUCGACGAGUUUGAGUUCGAUGAAAUUAAGUCAAGGUUCGACUUGAUUAGAUCAAAACUCGACUCGACUCGACUCGUUUGCAGCCUUAGAUACAGGCAUGAUCCUUGGCCUGGCACCAUUUUCAUAUCAGGCAAUGAACAGGUUAACCAACUUAACCAUCCAUCAUCCAUCUAAUUAAGUUGGCCAAUCCUUGAUUGCAUUCAUGGCAUGGCUUGUUUGGUGAUUCCAUCUCCUUUUUUGCUCAUUAUUCAUCCUGAUUCCUAAAUGAUCAACCCAAAAACAAAAAAAAAGAACGCCACCACGAUUCUUAAUAUAUUCUCCAAAUAAUGAAACUCGACCGCAUUCUGUGCUCCCUUGCUUCCUGCGCGCAUAUAGGAAAGAUGGGAAUUAUAAGUGAUAGCUGCAUCCAUGCAAAGCCAACAGUCAAAGCUCAAUAAAGAUCUGCAGACCCUGAAAAACAAGCUAAUUCACUUCGUUAAUAACCAAGCCAUUUGGCUUUUCGCGACAUCUUAUGUAAGGUACCGAACAGGAUGGCGAACUCUCUUGACGCCUCCCAUAAUCCAUAUCUACUGCAGCGUGAGCACAACUAUGGCAGAGAUGGCAGUAAGUUUGCACCAGAGGCACAAAUGCUAUACGUCCCCAACAAUCUAUUCAAAAAUAAAUGUUCAAUUUGUACACGGUGUGGGUGAUACGUAUUCUAGACAUGCAUACAGGAAGAGAGACCGAGAAGAGAUUAAGCUCGGCACUUCUAGUUAUUAUGCAGCCCAAGACUUGUCCUAUCUCAAGUACAAGGAAACCAAAAACUGAGAGAGAAGCACAAAUUCGCUCACAACAG